CCCUAUUAUUUUUGAUGUUAAAUAUUUUGGCCUGAGUAGUAUUAGUUAUGUUCUUGAAACUUAAAGAAUUUGGCGGUAUUUCAUUCUGUUCAGAGGAAUCUGCCUCGUUAUCGAUAAUCCGCGUUGGACCUUACUUGGUUUAAUUUGUUUGUAUACCGCCGUUAUAAUGAAGAUCUUUUUAGGGUUUUAUGUAAUUUUCUUCUUCUAUGAUUUUGGUUUAUUUCAGGUCAAGGUGCAGCUUAUGAUCAAGUGUUUGGUGGAUUACAUUUAAUUACUUAUUAUCGGAUCGCUAUUUGGAAUUUUGGCGUGAAGUUGGAUUUGAUUGUAACUGAUUGGAUUUUGUUUUGGUGAUUUAUGUUUUGAAAUAUGCACACAUCGCCCGUCGCUCUCGUUAUUUUUUAGGCGAGAUAAGUC
rnacentral:rRNA from 1 species